GAUGAACGCUGGCGGCGUGCCUAAUACAUGCAAGUCGAGCGAACAGACGAGGAGCUUGCUCCUCUGACGUUAGCGGCGGACGGGUGAGUAACACGUGGAUAACCUACCUAUAAGACUGGGAUAACUUCGGGAAACCGGAGCUAAUACCGGAUAAUAUAUUGAACCGCAUGGUUCAAUAGUGAAAGACGGUUUUGCUGUCACUUAUAGAUGGAUCCGCGCCGCAUUAGCUAGUUGGUAAGGUAACGGCUUACCAAGGCAACGAUGCGUAGCCGACCUGAGAGGGGGGUUCGCCAAACCUGGACCGGAAACAGGUCCAGACCUCCUAGGGGGGGAAGAAGGGGGGAAUUUGCAGAAAGGGGGGAAAGCUUGACGGGGCAACGCCGGUGGGUGAAAGAAGGUUUUGGGUUGGAAAACCCUUUUUUUUGGAAAAAAAAAAAUGUGUAUAAAACCCUGCAGUUCUGAGGGGACCCAAAUAAGAAGCCCCGGGUAACUUCGUG
rnacentral:rRNA from 1 species